rnacentral:rRNA from 1 species
AGAGUUUGAUCCUGGCUCAGGACGAACGCUGGCGGCGUGCUUAACACAUGCAAGUCGAACGGGAGUAUAGAGGGAGCUUGCUUUUGAUAUACUCUAGUGGCGGACGGGUGAGUAACGCGUGAGGAGCUGUCCAGUACAGGGGGACAACAGAUGGAAACGUCUGCUAAUACCCCAUAAGCCUAAGGGUAAAAGGAGCGAUCCGGUACACGAGGCACUCGCGUCCUAUCAGCUAGUAGGUGAGGUAACGGCUCACCUAGGCGAAGACGGGUAGCCGGCCUGAGAGGGCGAACGGCCACACUGGAACUGAGAGACGGUCCAGACUCCUACGGGAGGCAGCAGUGGGGAAUAUUGGGCAAUGGGGGGAACCCUGACCCAGCGACGUCGCGUGGGUGACGAAAUCCUUCGGGAUGUAAAGCCCUGUUGUAUGGGAAGAUGAAAGAGACGGUACCAUACGAGGAAGCCCCGGCAAACUACGUGCCAGCAGCCGCGGUAAUA